UUAAGUUACUCGCUUACUUUGUUUCAGUGUUAGAGUAUAUGUAUAAGGUUUUGAAGUAAUAUUAAUAUAAGUUACUGCGCCUCAAUCCGAAAGCUAACCACUGGAGGUAGCAUUUGUAGGCUGUAUAACUUUUACGUCAUCAAGACUGUCAUAUUUAAGAAUAUUAACAAUUAUAAAGUUAACUAUUAUUCUCAGUUAAUCGUAAAUUGUUGUAAUAUGCUUAUGACUUGCGAAUGUAAAGUUAAUUUAACUGAAAUAAACCAGGCUUGAUGACGUAUGCAGCCUGCAUAUUCGACCACCGGAGGAGUGAGCGUGCGCGAGAUUCUGUCCGAAUUAAUUCUUCAAUAAUGGCAAAGCAAAAAGUUACUGUCGUGAUGAUAACCCACAUUUUAAGGUUUAAAUUAAAAACUCCUAACUUACCUUUCCAGGGGUUUCUGUUCCUGCAGUCUUCCAGCGAUACUGGCGUGUAUGACGAUGCGGACACGAUCAGCACACUACAGUAUACCGCCACCUACUGUACUGUAGUAAAAUAACAUCCUUUAAACAUCUAAACAUGUCCUCCAAAAAGGUAAGUUCAGCAGAUCAGCUUAUCUUAUUCAGUAAUAUUGAUACUGGUUUGAGAAAAACUAAGAUUAAACAACAUACAUGUUUCCAGGAAAAAGGGAAAAACACUGGAAAACAAUUUCAGCCUAAGGUUUGAGAUGGCUAACUGUGUACAUUGCCUUUGUGUACUGCAAGCUGAAUUUACAGAUUUAUAUGGACUUUACUUACAGGUUUCCUGUGCUGUUUUGCUCCAUUUUACAGAACAAAAUAAGGCUGAGGUAGCACCAUCCUUGUGGUUAGAGUGAAAGACUGUGGGUAUUGAGACCAAAAUAAAUAAUGUGCGAUUCUGGACAAACAGCUGUGGACAAUAUGCAGUCAGAGUAGCCUAUUUUCUCACACAGGUAAAGUAUGCAAAGUAAUACCAAACUUCUUUUUAACCUUAACAAAUACUGGCAAGCCAAAUAUACAAUGUUUAUGUGAGGUACUGUGCAAAUGUUUAGGCCACCAUGCUACCAUUAGAUUUGUUGUUUUUGCAAUUGUAUAGUGAUCAUAUAUAAUUAUUUCUCAGUCUCCUUAUUAGAAUACAACCAGAAAAUACAGGAAAUGUGUGUAGUAUUAAAAACAAUAUAAACGUAUAAGCUGAAGUGUCAAGUAUU